rnacentral:rRNA from 1 species
GUUGAGCGAAGCUUUUUGGUAGUUUACUACUAGAAAUGACUGAGCGGCGAACGGGUGAGUAACGCGUGAGCAAUCUACCUUAGUUACUGGGAUAGCCCGAGGAAACUCGGAUUAAUACCGGAUAUUCUUAUUUUUUCACAUGAAGUUUUAAGGAAAGGUCAGCCGAACUAAGAUGAGCUCGCGUUCUAUCAGCUAGUUGGUGGGGUAAAAGCCUACCAAGGCUACGACGGAUAGCUGGUCUGAGAGGACGAUCAGCCACACUGGGACUGAGACACGGCCCAGACUCCUACGGGAGGCUGCAGCAGGGAAUAUUGUGCAAUGAGCGAAAGCUUGACACAGCGACACCGCGUGUGGGAUGACGGUUCUAGGAUUGUAAACCACUUUCAGGAGGGAAGAAAAUGACGGUACCUCCACAAGAAGACCCGGCCAACUAUGUGCCAGCAGCCGCGGUAAUACAUAGGGGUCAAGCGUUGUCCGGAUUUAUUGGGCGUAAAGAGCUCGUAGGCGGUUCAACAAGUCGGUCGUAAAAGUUUAGGGCUCAACCCUAAAAUGUCGAUCGAUACUGUUGUGACUAGGAUACGGUAGAGGUG